GGCGCGAUGGCCGAGUGGCUAGGCAGCGGUCUGCAAAAUCGUUUACGCCGGUUCGAUUCCGGCUCGCGCCU
rfam:Candidate division WOR-1 bacterium RIFCSPLOWO2_02_FTLL_46_20 rifcsplowo2_02_scaffold_6101, whole genome shotgun sequence.